GACGUAGGUGGCGAACGUUAUCCGGAUUUAUUGGGUUUAAAGGGUGCGUAGGCGGCCUAUUAAGUCAGGGGUGAAAGACGGUAGCUUAACUAUCGCAGUGCCUUUGAUACUGAUGGGCUUGAAUGUACUUGAGGUAGGCGGAAUGUGACAAGUAGCGGUGAAAUGCAUAGAUAUGUCACAGAACACCAAUUGCGAAGGCAGCUUACUAAAGUAUGAUUGACGCUGAGGCACGAAAGCGUGGGGAUCAAACAGG
rnacentral:rRNA from 1 species